GCCGGGCGCGGUGGCGCGUGCCUGUAGUCCCAGCUACUCGGGAGGCUGAGGCUGGAGGAUCGCUUGAGUCCAGGAGUUCUGGGCUGUAGUGCGCUAUGCCGAUCGGGUGUCCGCACUAAGUUCGGCAUCAAUAUGGUGACCUCCCGGGAGCGGGGGACCACCAGGUUGCCUAAGGAGGGGUGGACCGGCCCAGGUCGGAAACGGAGCAGGUCAAAACUCCCGUGCUGAUCAGUAGUGGGAUCGCGCCUGUGAAUAGCCACUGCACUCCAGCCUGGGCAACAUAGCGAGACCCCGUCUCUUUU
rnacentral:SRP_RNA from 1 species